AUAUUGGGCAAUGGAGGCAACUCUGACCCAGCAACGCCGCGUGAGCGGUGAAGGUCUUCGGAUUGUAAAGCUCUUUAAGUGGGGACGANNAAAGUUACUGUACCCACAGAAUAAGCCUCGGCUAACUACGUGCUAGCAGCCGCGGUAAUACGUAGGAGGCAAGCGUUAUCCGGAAUGACUGGGCGUAAAGGGUGCGUAGGUGGUUUGACAAGUUGGUAGCGUAACUCCGGGGCUCAACCUCGGAUCUACUACCAAAACUGUUGGGCUUGAGUGCAGGAGGGGUGAAUGGAAUUCCUAGUGUAGCGGUGGAAUGCGUAGAUAUUAGGAGGAACACCAGCGGCGAAGGCGAUUCACUGGACUGUAACUGACACUGAGGCACGAAAGCGUGGGGAGCAAACAGG
rnacentral:rRNA from 1 species